CAACUACUCCCUCCGUUCCAAAUUACUUGUCGCAAGUAUGGAUGUAUCUAGAUGUAUUUUAGUUCUAGAUACAUUCAUUUCUACGACGAGUAAUUUGGAACGGAGGGAGUACGUA
rnacentral:pre_miRNA from 1 species